UACGUAGGUGGCGAGCGUUGUCCGGAAUUACUGGGUGUAAAGGGCGUGUAGGCGGGGAUGUAAGUCAGAUGUGAAAUUCCAUGGCUCAACUGUGGGGCUGCAUCUGAAACUGCGUCUCUUGAGUAUCGGAGAGGGAAGUGGAAUUCCUAGUGUAGCGGUGAAAUGCGUAGAUAUUAGGAGGAACACCAGUGGCGAAGGCGACUUUCUGGACGAUAACUGACGCUGAGGCGCGAAAGCGUGGGGAGCAAACAGG
rnacentral:rRNA from 1 species